CCUACGGGGGGCAGCAGUGAGGAAUAUUGGUCAAUGGGCGUAAGCCUGAACCAGCCAAGCCGCGUGAGGGAUGAAGGUUCUAUGGAUCGUAAACCCCUUUUAUAAGGGAAUAAAGUGCGGGACGUGUCCCGUUUUGUAUGUACCUUAUGAAUAAGGAUCGGCUAACUCCGUGCCAGCAGCCGCGGUAAUACGGAGGAUCCGAGCGUUAUCCGGAUUUAUUGGGUUUAAAGGGAGCGUAGAUGGGUUGUUAAGUCAGUUGUGAAAGUUUGCGGCUCAACCAUGAGAGUGCGGCGCGAACUGGAGACCUUGAGUGCGCGGAAGGCAGGCGGAAUUCGUGGUGUAGCGGUGAAAUGCUUAGAUAUCACGAAGAACCCCGAUUGCGAAGGCAGCCUGCCGCAGCGUUACUGACGCUGAAGCUCGAAAGCGCGGGUAUCGAACAGGAUUAGAUACCCGUGUAGUC
rnacentral:rRNA from 1 species